rnacentral:rRNA from 1 species
GACGAACGCUGGCGGCGUGCCUAACACAUGCAAGUCGAGCGAGGUGUAUACACCUAGCGGCGGACGGGUGAGUAACACGUGGGUAACCUGCCUCAGAGAGGGGAAUAGCCUUCCGAAAGGAAGAUUAAUACCGCAUAAUAUACGCAUUUAGCAUUAUGAGCGUAUCAAAGGAGAAAUCCGCUUUGAGAUGGGCCCGCGGCGCAUUAGCUAGUUGGAGAGGUAACGGCUCACCAAGGCGACGAUGCGUAGCCGACCUGAGAGGGUGAUCGGCCACAUUGGAACUGAGACACGGUCCAG